rnacentral:lncRNA from 1 species
UUGGAAAUUGAUAAAGAAAUCAUUUAAAAAAAAUUAAAUUUUUAGGCAUAAAACGCUCAUAUCUCCUCAACCAGUGAAGUUAGAGGUUUGAAAAUUUAAACACACAUUCUUCUAAGAAAUUUAUUGGACACCUGUUUCAGCAUUUUUCCCAAAAAUAUUUUUAAAAUGAAGAAACCAGUUUUGGAAAUUGAUAAAGAAAUCAUUUAAAAAAAUAUUAAAUUUUUAGGCAUAAAACGCUCAUAUCUCCUCAACCAGUGAAGUUAGAGGUUUGAAAAUUUAAACACACAUUCUUCUAAGAAAUUCAUUGGACACCUGUUUCAGCAUUUUUUCCAAAAAUAUUUUUUAAAUGGAGAAACCAGCCUUGGAAAUUGAUAUAGAAAUCAUUUAAAAAAAAAUUAAAUUUUUAGGCAUAAAACGCUCAUAUCUCCUCAACCAGUGAAGUUAGAGGUUUGAAAAUUUAAACACACAUUCUUCUAAGAAAUUCAUUGGACACCUGUUUCAGCAUUUUUUUCUAAAAUAUUUUUAAAAUGGAGAAACCAGCCUUGGAAAUUGAUAAAGAAAUCAUUUAAAAAAAAUUAAAUUUUUAGGCAUAAAACGCUCAUAUCUCCUCAACCAGUGAAGUUAGAGGUUUGAAGAUUUAAACACACAUUCUUCUAAGAAAUUCAUUGGACACCUGUUUCAGCAUUUUUUCCAAAAAUAUUUUUAAAAUGGAGAAACCAGCCUUGGAAAUUGAUAAAGAAAUCAUUUAAAAAAAAUUAAAUUUUUAGGCAUAAAACGCUCAUAUCUCCUCAACCAGUGAAGUUAGAGGUUUGAAGAUUUAAACACACAUUCUUCUAAGAAAUUCAUUGGACACCUGUUUCAGCAUUUUUUCCAAAAAUAUUUUUAAAAUGGAGAAACCAGCCUUGGAAAUUGAUAAAGAAAUCAUUUAAAAAAAAUUAAAUUUUUAGGCAUAAAACGCUCAUAUCUCCUCAACCAGUGAAGUUAGAGGUUUGAAGAUUUAAACACACAUUCUUCUAAGAAAUUCAUUGGACACCUGUUUCAGCAUUUUUUCCAAAAAUAUUUUUAAAAUGGAGAAACCAGCCUUGGAAAUUGAUAAAGAAAUCAUUUUAAAAAAAUUUAAAUUUUUAGGCAUAAAACUUUCAUAUCUCCUCAACCAGUGAAGUUAAAAGUUUGAAAAUUUAAACACACAUUCCUCUAAGAAAUUCAUUGGACACCUGUUUCAGCAUUUUUUCCAAAAAUAUUUUUAAAAUGGAGAAACCAGCCUUGGAAAUUGAUAUAGAAAUCAUUUAAAAAAAAAUUAAAUUUUUAGGCAUAAAACGCUCAUAUCUCCUCAACCAGUGAAGUUAGAGGUUUGAAGAUUUAAACACACAUUCUUCUAAGAAAUUCAUUGGACACCUGUUUCAGCAUUUUUUCCAAAAAUAUUUUUAAAAUGGAGAAACCAGCCUUGGAAAUUGAUAAAGAAAUCAUUUAAAAAAAAUUAAAUUUUUAGGCAUAAAACGCUCAUAUCUCCUCAACCAGUGAAGUUAGAGGUUUGAAAAUUUAAACACACAUUCUUCUAAGAAAUUCAUUGGACACCUGUUUCAGCAUUUUUUCCAAAAAUAUUUUUAAAAUGGAGAAACCAGCCU